rnacentral:rRNA from 1 species
GCUGAUGCGUUGUUGGGUAGGGGAGCGUUCUGUAAGCCUGUGAAGGUGGCCUGUGAGGGUUGCUGGAGGUAUCAGAAGUGCGAAUGCUGACAUAAGUAACGAUAAAGCGGGUGAAAAGCCCGCUCGCCGGAAGACCAAGGGUUCCUGUCCAACGUUAAUCGGGGCAGGGUGAGUCGACCCCUAAGGCGAGGCCGAAAGGCGUAGUCGAUGGGAAACGGGUUAAUAUUCCCGUACUUGGUGUUACUGCGAAGGGGGGACGGAGAAGGCUAUGUUGGCCGGGCGACGGUUGUCCCGGUUUAAGCGUGUAGGUGUGUGUUCCAGGUAAAUCCGGUUCACUUUAACACUGAGGCGUGAUGACGAGGCACUACGGUGCUGAAGCAACAAAUGCCCUGCUUCCAGGAAAAGCCUCUAAGCAUCAGGUAACAUCAAAUCGUACCCCAAACCGACACAGGUGGUCAGGUAGAGAAUACCAAGGCGCUUGAGAGAACUCGGGUGAAGGAACUAGGCAAAAUGGUGCCGUAACUUCGGGAGAAGGCACGCUGACAUGUAGGUGAAGUGAUUUACUCAUGGAGCUGAAGUCAGUCGAAGAUACCAGCUGGCUGCAACUGUUUAUUAAAAACACAGCACUGUGCAAACACGAAAGUGGACGUAUACGGUGUGACGCCUGCCCGGUGCCGGAAGGUUAAUUGAUGGGGUCAGCGCAAGCGAAGCUCCUGAUCGAAGCCCCGGUAAACGGCGGCCGUAACUAUAACGGUCCUAAGGUAGCGAAAUUCCUUGUCGGGUAAGUUCCGACCUGCACGAAUGGCGUAAUGAUGGCCAGGCUGUCUCCACCCGAGACUCAGUGAAAUUGAACUCGCUGUGAAGAUGCAGUGUACCCGCGGCAAGACGGAAAGACCCCGUGAACCUUUACUAUAGCUUGACACUGAACAUUGAGCCUUGAUGUGUAGGAUAGGUGGGAGGCUUUGAAGUGUGG